UACGUAGGGUGCAAGCGUUGUCCGGAAUUAUUGGGCGUAAAGAGCUCGUAGGCGGUUCGUCGCGUCGGCUGUGAAAACCCGGAGCUCAACUCCGGGCCUGCAGUCGAUACGGGCGGACUCGAGUUCGGCAGGGGAGACUGGAAUUCCUGGUGUAGCGGUGAAAUGCGUAGAUAUCGGGAGGAACACCAGUGGCGAAAGCGGCUACCUGGCCCAUUCUUGACGCUGAGGCGCGAAAGCUAGGGGAGCAAACGGG
rnacentral:rRNA from 1 species